rnacentral:misc_RNA from 1 species
GAUGAAGAACGCAGCGAAAUGCGAUAAGUAAUGUGAAUUGCAGAAUUCAGUGAAUCAUCGAAUCUUUGAACGCACCUUGCGCCCUUUGGUAUUCCGAAGGGCAUGCCUGUUCGAGCGUCAUUAUCACCCCUCAAGCCCUCGGCUUGGUGUUGGACGGUUUGGUGGAGGCCCCCUCGGGGGCUCCUGCCCCUCCCAAAGACAAUGACGGCGGCCUCGUUGGACCCCCGGUACACUGAGUUCUUCACGGGACACGUAUCGGACACAUGGGUUUACGGGACACGGUCUGCCUCCCCUCAGGGAGAAUCUUUCUAAGGUUGACCUCGGAUCAGGUAGGGAUACCCGCUGAACUUAAGCAUAUCAAUAAGCGGAGGA